rnacentral:rRNA from 1 species
ACUCCUACGGGAGGCAGCAGUGGGGAAUAUUGCACAAUGGGCGCAAGCCUGAUGCAGCCAUGCCGCGUGUAUGAAGAAGGCCUUCGGGUUGUAAAGUACUUUCAGCAGUGAGGAAGGUGGGUAUGUUAAUAGCAUACUCAUUUGACGUUAGCUGCAGAAGAAGCACCGGCUAACUCCGUGCCAGCAGCCGCGGUAAUACGGAGGGUGCGAGCGUUAAUCGGAAUUACUGGGCGUAAAGCGCAUGCAGGUGGUUUGUUAAGUCAGAUGUGAAAGCCCGGGGCUCAACCUCGGAAUUGCAUUUGAAACUGGCAAACUAGAGUACUGUAGAGGGGGGUAGAAUUUCAGGUGUAGCGGUGAAAUGCGUAGAGAUCUGAAGGAAUACCGGUGGACGAAGGCGGCCCCCUGGACAGAUACUGACACUCAGAUGCGAAAGCGUGGGGAGCAAACAGGAUUAGAUACCCUGGUAAGGCUCU